GACUAUGCAGCUAUAGUGAACUGUGAGUUUAAUUAGUAAAGUUCAUCACAAGAGAUGUCUGUUAGAUGCUGACAGCGCCACAGCAUACAAAAUAAUUGAAUGGUAAUUGGCAAUGGUCCAUACUCUAAUUCAUGUUGGGACAACAAUAGAUUUCUACCUCCUUAAAGGUUAAUGAUCACUCCAAAACUAUCCUGCAGCAGCAGCAAGGAGCAAGACAGUGACUUUUUCAGUAAUAUGGUGGAUUGGCUAUAGUUGAAUUGCAUCAGGUUCAUAAUUCAAUGUACAAUUUAAAAAAUAUAUAACUGAGAUUCCAACAUAUUAGAAUUCUUUGAGUAGCGGCCAAGCAACUUACUGGAAAGUGGUUUUACGCACUUCUCACAUAAAAUGGUAGAAUGCCUCAAUAGGAAAGUGUAAGUGUGGAACCUCAACCCCUCAUCUUUUGAUGUCAGAUGUCAAUGGUUACAUGAAUUAUUGUAAGGAGUAUUAUUUCAGAGAGCGGAGCCUAAUGAAGUAGGCCACAGUUGAGUUUAGCAAGCUCAGUAGGAUGCUUUGUUUUCUUUGUACAUAAACCAUCAUGAUGCCGCUAGGCUGGUCCCUUUCCCGAGCCCAAACCAUUUCUGCCCAAAGUUUUGUUGUGCCUGUGAAGGUUACAUUGCCUAAGAUAUUAGCCUUUAAUAAGUUUACCAGAAAGUGGGCAACUUCUGUGUGGUGUUUUUGUCUGCCAAGAGAAGGGAAAACUGAACCGACAGAUGCAAAUGAGACUAGGAUACUGAGUGUACAAGUUAAGCCACAGGUAAAGUUGAGAAGAAGCUUAUAUCUUUUUGAUUGAAUAAACUUUAUUCUAAAUCAAUUGCUGCAAAAAGAGAACUUAAUAACUGUAACUAAUUACUAGAAAUUGUUCCAUCAACCCAUGUGAGAAUUUGGAUAAAUAGAUCAGAGACAAAUAUGUCAUACCUACCACUUUGUGAUGAAUAUGUCCAAAUCAUAGGUCAUUAUCUGAAAAGAUAAUGCAUUACUAAAGUGGUUGGGAUUAGAGAGGAAGAAGGAUUAUCUAGGGCUUGUAAGCUUAUUAGGGUAAAAAAUGAUUGAUUACCUGGGUGAAUUUAGUAAGCAUUAUUGGAGUGGCAUGGCACGUGGAAGGCUCAUGUGAAAGUGAGGAAUGAAUGAAGAUGAAGAUGAAGAUGAAUAUGGUGUUGUGUUGUCCCAGCUGGUUUAAGAAGUACAAGAGGUUUUGAUGAAUUCCCUUUUGGGGUUGCCAGCAGAGGGACAGAGACCACUUGGUGCCACCAAUUGGCUGGUUCUACAAAGUACCUUCACUCACUCAUGGAGAGAGAGGCAAAGAAAAAGCUGAACGGGGGUCCCUUUGCUUAUAGUACAUUCAUUCAUUCUCAACUACUUUGACACUUGUUGCUUGUAAUUCAGAUUUUGUACCCUGAACUGGUAUUAUGAAGCAUUGAAAUAUUUUGUA